GCCCACGUAGCUCAGUAGGCAGAGCGUCGCCUUGGUAAGGCGGAGGUCGGCGGUUCGAUCCCGCUCGUGGGCUCCA
rnacentral:tRNA from 1 species